GAUGAACGCUGGCGGCGUGCCUAAUACAUGCAAGUCGAGCGAACGGACGAGAAGCUUGCUUCUCUGAUGUUAGCGGCGGACGGGUGAGUAACACGUGGAUAACCUACCUAUAAGACUGGGAUAACUUCGGGAAACCGGAGCUAAUACCGGAUAAUAUUUUGAACCGCAUGGUUCAACAGUGAAAGACGGUCUUGCUGUCACUUAUAGAUGGAUCCGCGCUGCAUUAGCUAGUUGGUAAGGUAACGGCUUACCAAGGCAACGAUGCAUAGCCGACCUGAGAGUGUGAUCGGCCACACUGGAACUGAGACACGGUCCAGACUCCUACGGGAGGCAGCAGUAGGGAAUCUUCCGCAAUGGGCGAAAGCCUGACGGAGCAACGCCGCGUGAGUGAUGAAGGUCUUCGGAUCGUAAAACUCUGUUAUUAGCGAAGAACAUAUGUGUAAGUAACUGUGCACAUCUUGACGGUACCUAAUCAGAAAGCCACGGCUAACUACGUG
rnacentral:rRNA from 1 species